UCAGGUAGUGGUCCUAUUAAAGAAAAAAGAAAAGAAAAAUUUCUCACACCGAUCUGACGUGGACGGUAAUGUGGGAAAUAGUUUUUCAUUUCAAGCAAAGUCGAAAUUUAAUUUUUAUUUUGCAAUAUUAUGGGAAAAUAUUCUAGUUUUAGCCAAAACAAAUUGAAAAUGCGCCUCCCUCCCCAGUUCACGAACAGCAGCUGAACCUCACAAAAAUUAAAACAUUGCGUCCUCUUCUAUGUAAAUUUUAGGGCUUUGGAGAAUUUAGGGCUUUUUGGAGGAUUUACAAGAUUUUCACUCUCAUCCACUCACAAAACUGCUGCAAUUUGAAGAGUUUAGAUAAAUUACGGUUAGAACAUUGAAUUUUUGUGGUAAGUUUUUCUUCCCCUUGCUUUCAAUAUUCCUUUGGCUUUGCGAGGAGCAGCCGUUUCUGUUCUUUCUUCUGGUUUUCCUCUUCUUUCUCCUCAUUGCUUUCCUUGGUGUUAUAAUCAUUUGCAGCACUAGAUUGACGUGUAGGUGUGUGUUAACAGUAGUCUUUACAAAGUAAACCGAACAAUUAAGGUAAGGUUUGAUAGUAUAAUAAAUUGUUUUGUUGGGUGGAUUUUUAGGACCAUUUUGGCAUUUGUCGUACUUUUUUGUUCGUGUAUGAAUUUGAUUUCCAUAACCCUCUCAGUCCACCCAACCCGGUGCUUACCGGUUAAAUCCAGAUUCGUUCAUCAAACGGGUCACUUAUGAACAAACCGAAGGACAAGCUCCUCCUUACGCUAUCUAUCUUGAUCAUGAUAACUGUGAAAUUGUUCUUGCCAUUCGUGGGUUAGAUCUUUGGAUGAAAUCUGACUAUAAGAUUUUACGUGAUAAUCGGCUCGGUGGACAGAUGUUUGAUAGUGGAUAUGUUCAUCAUGGUUUAUUGAAAUCUUGUUCGUUGGUUGUUGGAUCAGGAAUCUGAGACUUUAAGAAGUUGUGGGUUGAGAAUGGAAAGUGUUAUAAGAUGGUUUUUACUGUUUUAUGCUCUGGCGUUUCUUCGUUAAUGACUAUAUUGGUUCUCAAUCCUGAAAAUAAACUUGGGGGUAUUCUUAGAAAUCUUAUUACAUGUUAUUCUAUUGGUUAAGGCUGACAAAAGCUGACCCGACCUGCUAACCUAAUUUGAAAUCAAUCCGAAAUUAGUGGGUCUGGGUUUAGAUUUUUUACCCAAUUAAUUAAAUGGGUCAACCCGACCUGAUCUGUUUAUUAAAUGGGUUAGGUUCAGGUUGAAUAUUUAAAACCGAAAAAAACCUGUUUAACCCGUUUAUUAAAUAGGUCAGUCAGGUCAGGUCGACCCAUAUUAUCUGAUAUUAACACAUUAUACUAGAUGACACAUUGUUGGGCCACUUGGGAGUUGGGCCUGCGAAAUGCGGACAACGGAUGGAUGACACAUUAUUAACCCAUUAUACUUAGCUUUAUUAAAGAUGAAGUGAUACUGAUAAUCAUAAACCCUAAAAUAAUCAUAAACCCAUUGAAAAUUAUCUCUGCGGCGCCUUCCUCAGUUGCUCUUCUCUGUGCGCCUUCUCCUUCCUCUUCUCUGCGACGCCUUCCUCUUCUCUGUGCGCCUUCUCCUUCCUCUUCAUUGCGGCGCCUUCCUCCUCUCUGUGCCAAAAGCCAAGGUAAGAUUUAUUUCUUUAUUGUCCGAUUUUUCUGAUUCUUUUUUUGUUCGAUUUUUUCUGAUUUUUUUGUGUUCGAUUUUUUUGACUUUUUUGUGUUUGAUUUUAAUGUUCAUUGUUGUAACUGCUAUUUUCAUUGUUCUUAAUGCCAUCUUUAAUUCUUUAUAAUAAUUUGGUUCGUGUUUGUGUUUUUUAGUGUUUGAUUUUGUUUGUGUUCCAUUUUCGCAAUGAUUUUGUUUGUGUUCUUACUAUCAAGUAUUAACUGAUUUCAUGAUCCUAAAUUGUGUUAUUUAUGUAUACUUCCUUAUGUUUCAAUUACAAAUGAGAAAUGAGAAUAAUCACUGUAAUGUAUUUGUAAUACUGAAUGGAAAGCUAUCGGCAAUGAUUUAACACGCUAACUUUAUCGGUAAUGAUAUACUGUAAUUUAAGAAGAUUUCGCAAAAUUUCUAACACAGAGGGAUAAACUAUUUUUUAUAUUUCUUCUUAGGUAAUGGAUACCAUUGAAUCUGAACAUGUUCAAGUUGACUCAGAAAAAGAUCUGGUGGAGGAUCUUAAAAACAAAGGUAACAAAACAAUUCAUAUAUCUGGCAAGAAUUUUAAACGACAACGUAGACUUACAUCUGGUGUUUGGGUGAACUUUGAAUUUGUGGAUGAAACUGAUGAAGAUGGAAAUCUGUUAUGUAAAUGUAAAAAAUGUGAAAAAAACAUUUAGGGCAGAUUGUAAAAUGGGGAAGGAAAUUUAAUUCGUCAUGUAAAAAAUUGUAAAAUGAGGACAUUUCGUGAUGUUGGUCAAAUGCUAUUGGAGAAUUCCACUGUUGGUUUUGCAAAUAAAUAGCAUGCAUUUGAUGUUGCUAUUUUUCGUGAACUAUUAGCUCUUACAAUAAUAAGAAAUGAUCUUCCACCAGAUCUUCUUCUGAGUCAACUUGAACAUGUUCAGAUUCAAUGGUAUCCAUUACCUAAGAAGAAAUACAAAAAAUAGUUUAUACCUCUGUGUUAGAAAUUUUGCGAAAUCUUCUUAAAUUACAGUAUAUCAUUGCCGAUAGCUUUCAAUAUAGUAUUACAAAUACAAUACAGUGAUUAUUCUCAUUUCUCAUUUGUAAUUGAAACAUACGGAAGUAUACAUAAAUAACACAAUUUAGGAUCAUGAAAUCAGUUGAUACUUGAUAGUAUGAACACAAAAAAAAUCAUUGUGAAAAUGGAACACAAACAAAAUCGAACACUAAAAAACACAAUCAUGAACCAAAUUAUUAUGAAGAAUUAAAGAUGGCAUUAAGAACAAUGAAAAUAGCAGUAAUAACAAUGAACAUGAAAAUCAAACACAAAAAAAUCAAAAAAAAUCGAACACGAAAAAUAUCAGAAAAAAUCAAACAAAAAAAGAAUCAAAAAAAUCCAAAAAACAAAGAAAAAAAGAAAAAAAUCUUACCUUCGCUUUUGUCACAGAGUAGAGGAAGGCGCCGCAGAGAAGAGGAAGGAGAAGACGCACAAAGUAAAGGAAGGCGCAGCAAAGAAGAGGAAGGAGAAGGCGCUCAGAGAAGAAGAACUGAGGAAGGCGCCGCAGAGAUAAUUUUCAAUGGCUUUAUGAUUAUUUUAGGGUUUAUGAUUAUCGGCGUUAAGCUCGGCGUUAAGCGCUGAUUCAAUCGACUGGCACCCGUAUCAUGGGUGGCAAUAUUUUGUAGGAUUUAGUUUCAGGUUUUGAUCCAGGCCACAACCAUUGUUUAUUUAUGUAUUGAGGAUUUAGCUGCGUUUUUUUUAUGCACUCUCUGUUUGAUUAUUUUGAUGUAUUUAAUUUUAAUUUUUAUGUAUUUUUGGAACUAUUGAUAUGUAUUUCAUUUUUUUCAACUUUAAUGUAAUGUUUAUUUUUUGUCAUAAAGAGUUUUUAAUUUUUUUAAAUGUUUUAGUA